GUAGGUGGCAAGCGUUGUCCGGAAUUAUUGGGCGUAAAGCGCGCGCAGGCGGUUCUUUAAGUCUGAUGUGAAAGCCCACGGCUCAACCGUGGAGGGUCAUUGGAAACUGGAGAACUUGAGUACAGAAGAGGAAAGCGGAAUUCCACGUGUAGCGGUGAAAUGCGUAGAGAUGUGGAGGAACACCAGUGGCGAAGGCGGCUUUCUGGUCUGUAACUGACGCUGAGGCGCGAAAGCGUGGGGAGCAAACAGGGAUUAGAUACCCUGGUAGUCCACGCCGUAAACGAUGAGUGCUAAGUGUUAGGGGGUUUCCGCCCCCUUAGUGCUGCAGCUAACGCAUUAAGCACUCCGCCUGGGGAGUACAGCCGCAAGGCUG
rnacentral:rRNA from 1 species